CAUCAUUACUCUGCCAGAAAAACGGUUCGCUAAAAAAGAAAUACGCAUCUGCCUCCUCGCCUCGACCCUGGCCUGUGCAAAAUUCCCCAGCCACCACCGCGCCACUCGCCGCCGCGGCCGACCUCAACCCGCCUGCCGCGGCCGCACCUCUUCCCGCUCGCUGCCCCCGUCGCGGCGCUCGGGCGCAGCUUUUGGAUCUGGUCAACGCAGUAGCUCGAGCGGCCAGGGACGACGCGUCUGCUCGAUGCAGAACAACGGCGUCGGGAUCUAGCGGGCGGGGGAGAAGGAGGGAUCCGGCACGGUGACGCGAAGUCCCUCCGCCGCUGCUGUCGUCGAGGAAGCAAGGAAGCAGGCCGACGACGUGGUGGUGCAGUAUGUGGUGGUGCCGACGACGAGGCCAAGGCCAGCGCGCAGGACAAGAUGUGGCAACCUUGGGCGAUUGGUUCAUUGGAUUCUUCAAACCGAUGCCUUUUUGAACACGCAAGGUGCCCUCAUGAUUUAUUUCAAGAUGCUAUUUGAGCUAAUGCAGAAGCGUGAUGUGUUUGCCAAUCCUUGUGUCGUUGGUAUCUUCAUGCCGAUCGCAAGAAGUUAGUCUCCUAUUUUAUGGUAAUAUUAUGAUUUUUUUAUGCAAUUCCAGAUGCUAGACAAGGAACGUGUGUAGGCUGAGGAUUCUAAGGUAGCCACCUUGUUUUCCUCACAUGGGGAUAUUGAUGUAUGAUGCGGAAGCAGGAAGUGUUGUCCAUGGCCUUUUGAUUGACACAAAAGUUGUUCAAUACUGCAGUAGGGACAUGCCUGAUUCACACAAUUCCAAUCAUUGCCUUUUGAAAGUUCCGUUCCUGUAGUAUUUGAGUUUAUGUCUACACUUACAUGAAGAGCAUCAGGUAUUUGUAAACCAAUAUUUUGCUUAGAAAGGUUCCUACAAAAAAAGAAUAACCUUAAGAAAGCAGAGCCGUUUGUGUGCUUCAUAUAAGCUAUAUACAUGCCAUCUCACCAAGCACUGCUAACAUGUUCUUUUUUCAAGAGAGCAUAUAUGUUUCUUUUUUUGUCACCAUGUCUUCACGGGCGCCCGUCACCCACACGCUCCUCACUUCCUAGGUACAUAUUCUUCCUGCAUGUACCUCAGUGCAUGAUUUUCCUAAUCAGAUGAAAGGAUAAGAACUGUACAUGGCGCCAUUCACUGGAAAUGCCUUCUCUUACACCUUGUGGUUAGUUUUUCAGUUCUGCACAUCAAGCACUAUCAAAGUUUAUCCUAAUUACGCCAACGGCCUCCCUAAUGAAAGACUUAGCCAUUUGUAAUUGAUCUGGUGUAAUUUACUACUUUAUUGUUGGAUAUGAAGUUGUUUUGCUAUAAAUACCUCACAUUCAGUAUGCAAUGUGCCACUAGAACUAUACGACAUCACAGAACAUGAAGUACUCCCUGCUAGGCACAACCAUACACUCUGUUAUUCUGAAUAUUUUGAUUUGGUCACAGAGAUUUGUUAUUUUAGUGAUCUAUUUAUUCGAUUUCAUAAUUAUGGUUUCUCUUACUAAUACUGCCAUAAGAUAAGAUUGUAAACUAAAUCUGACUGUCGUGUCAUAUUUUUAUCAUCUAAUUACUAAUUAAACUGACAGUAAGACAUUUUAUACCCUUUUGUAGAUGCUGCAGACUUUGCAAGUGUUCAGAGAAAUGAUGUGCUAAUUAAGGGGUUUAGGAGCACUAAUAAAGAAUCCGUGUUGCUGAACUUUUUGUACCACUAAUGAGUAAAGUGAGUUCUUUAUAGUUUGCUUCAAUUUAGUGUAGGAAGAUAUCGGAUGCAAAAGCCCAAUUCGGUGCAGCCAUCAUUUGUUUGUCGAUGAAUUUAUUUGUUUGUUGAAAUAGAGGACGUUGAAUUGUGA